UACACAUCCAAUAUGGCGCCGAAAGCUAUCCGGAAAGCUAUUCCGUCCAAAAACGGUGGAUUUGCAGCAGUGAAAGAUUUUGUAGCUGACUUUUACAAAAAUCCUAUAAAAUGGCAGCUGAUAAAACACACUGCAAUAUUCAUCCUAGCUGUGGCAGCUGCAAGAGAACUUUCAGACAUUGAUCUCAUGGCCCCUGUUCCUCCUCCUUCAUAGAGCCACAGGUCACAACCACCCCUUACUUGUUUAAGUAUCUGAUGGAAGGCGUUUCAGACAGAUUCAGCAAGACGUACCCAUGUCAACGAACAAACAAUUCUUUUUUUUGUGAAUAUAAAGGGUUCAAUGCUGUAACACAUCUAAUAAAAGUUUCCAAUUUGUGAUA